UACGAUAAGGGCAAACCAUUGGCAACAAUGGGACGCAAAAUCAUAGGGUCCGUUAAAACGGAUAGCCUGAUUACCGAAC
rnacentral:ncRNA from 1 species